UUGCAGUUUGUAGCUGUUUGCUAGCCAGCCAGGAGCCAAAGGUGUUGAAAAACAAAUCAGCCACCAGCAGGGAGAACUGCAGAGUCAGCAGCCACGAGAAACGACGCAGUCAAAUGGUUCGUUUUGUUUGCACUUUGCUUUUUGUUGUGCACAUAUCCUUCGUCCUAGUGACGUCAAAGCCGCCCCCGCAGUCAUGCGCACUGACAAAGUAUUUUAAAAGCAGGCGAUAAAUUUAUCGAACAGGCUUCGAAAGAAAUUCAAACUUUGUACAACAACUAAACUGUAGUUAAUUAAUUUAAUGGAGAAUAUUCUUAUGUAACAAUAAGAAACACACAACUAUGUUUGUCAAAUAAAUUCGGCAAAGAACAUCUAUUUUUCCAACAAA